rnacentral:tRNA from 1 species
GCCGCGGUAGCUCAGCGGGAGAGCGUCCGGCUGAAGACCGGAAGGUCCCGGGUUCAAAUCCCGGCCGCGGCACCA